rnacentral:rRNA from 1 species
CGCCUCUUGACAAACAUAAGAGGUCCAGCCUGCCCAGUGACAAAGUUCAACGGCCGCGGUACCCUAACCGUGCGAAGGUAGCAUAAUCACUUGUUCUCUAAAUAAGGACUUGUAUCAACGGCACUACGAGGGUUAUACUGUCUCCUUUUUCCAAUCAGUGAAACUGAUCUCCCCGUGAAGAAGCGGGGAUCAAAAUAUAAGACGAGAAGACCCCAUGGAGCUUUAAACUCACUGUACACCUCUAUGUUCCUAUAUCCUUAUAACACAAGAAACCUGUACAUUAGUUUUAGGUUGGGGGGACCACGGAGUACAACUUAACCUCCAUAACAAAUGGGCUAACACCCUUAUCCACGAGACACAACUCUAAGAAUUAAUAGACUAAUGCUUAUGACCCGAUAUUCGAUCAAUGAACCAAGUUACCCUGGGGAUAACAGCGCAAUCUACUUCAAGAGCUCAUAUCGACAAGUAGGUUUACGACCUCGAUGUUGGAUCAGGGUAUCCCGGUGGUGCAACCGCUACCAAU